rnacentral:rRNA from 1 species
UACGUAGGGGGCAAGCGUUAUCCGGAUUCACUGGGUGUAAAGGGAGCGUAGACGGCGACGCAAGUCUGGAGUGAAAGCCCGGGGCCCAACCCCGGGACUGCUCUGGAAACUGCGGCGCUGGAGUACGGGAGGGGCAGGCGGAAUUCCUGGUGUAGCGGUGAAAUGCGUAGAUAUCAGGAGGAACACCGGUGGCGAAGGCGGCCUGCUGGACCGUGACUGACGUUGAGGCUCGAGAGCGUGGGGAGCAAACAGG